rnacentral:rRNA from 1 species
GACGAACGCUGGCGGCGUGCUUAACACAUGCAAGUCGAGCGGAGCGGCGAACGGGAGAGUAAGGCGUGAGUAACUGCCCCCCUCUCUGGGGUAACAGUUGGAAACGGCUGCUAAUACCGGAUAGUGGGGGAUGACUCGGGUCCUAUCAGCUUGUUGGUGGGGGAUGGGCCUACCAAGGCGACGGCUGGUAGCCGGCCUGAGAGGGCGUCCGGCGACAUUGCGCUAAGAUACGGCCCAAACGCCUACGGUAGGCAGCAGUCGGGAAUCUUGCACAAUCGGGGCACCCCUGAGGCAGAAACGCCGCGUGCGGGAUGCCGUCCUUCGGGUUGUAAACCGCUUUCAGCCAUGACGCGGUAGUUGCAGAAGAAGCACCGGCUAACUACGUGCCAGCAGCCGCGGUAAUAC